GUUUAUUUUGUUUAGUGUUUCUGAUUUUAUAAUUAAAUUUUGAUUUUUAAUUCUAGGAUUUCAUCCAUAGUAUAUUGUUUAAUAUUAAUAUUGAUCUAAACCCGUUGCACCAUAUAACCCCGUCCCGUAAAAUUAAACAUCAUUUGUUAUUUUUUUUGAAUAAUAUUUUUAUCCACUACGGGUUGCAGGUUCAUACGGAUAAGCCCGUAGAGAGUUGCGGGUUUGCGGAUCCACCCGCCAAAAGAGAAGCUAUCUUUUGAAACCCUUUGUUUUGUUUAGAGGUUUUAAGAAAAUAUAAAUAUCUCUAAAAAAAUAAUUUUCAUUAUAUGAAAAAAAGAAGUAGAAGAAAUUGUAGUAUCAACAUUCCCGAUUUUUACAUCACUUUUUUUUUUUUUGUCAUCUGGAUUUAUUAUUUAUUGCAAAUUCUGAGAACUGUUACAAUUAAUUUUUUUUUUGCAGAUAAAAAUCAGAAGUUAACUAAGUCGAGAUUUUUAAAAAGAUUGUGUA
rnacentral:lncRNA from 1 species